AAGACGAUCCUAGCAGAGCUUCAUCUCCACUCCACAGGUAAAACUCAACUGGGGUAUAAGCCUGAGUCCUCUAACUUCGUCUU
rnacentral:pre_miRNA from 1 species